UACGUAGGAUGCAAGCGUUGUCCGGAAUUAUUGGGCGUAAAGAGCGAGCAGGCGGUUUGGAAAGUUGGACGUGAAAUUUUAGGGCUUAACCCUAAAGGGUCGUCCAAAACUCCCAGACUAGAGUGCAGGAGAGGAAAGCGGAAUUCCCGGUGUAGUGGUGAAAUGCGUAGAUAUCGGGAGGAACACCAGAGGCGAAGGCGGCUUUCCGGCCUGUAACUGACGCUGAGGCGCGAAGGCUGGGGUAGCGAACAGG
rnacentral:rRNA from 1 species